UACGUAGGGUGCAAGCGUUGUCCGGAAUUAUUGGGCGUAAAGAGCUCGUAGGCGGUUUGUCGCGUCGGCUGUGAAAACCUGGGGCUCAACCCCGGGCCUGCAGCCGAUACGGGCAAACGUAGAAUUCGGUAGGGGAGACUGGAAUUCCUGGUGUAGCGGUGAAAUGCGCAGAUAUCAGGAGGAACACCGGUGGCGAAGGCGGGUCUCUGGGACGUUACUGACGCUGAGACGCGAAAGCGUGGGGAGCAAACAGG
rnacentral:rRNA from 1 species